rfam:Myotis lucifugus cont2.44024, whole genome shotgun sequence.
CAUGCACCAGUGGGGUCCCUCGGCCUGGCCUGCGCCCUCUUGCAAUCCAGGAUCCCUCAAGGGAUAUUGGAGAGCCGGUUUCAGCCUGAUCCCACAGGCCAGGCUGAGGGACCCCACUGGUGCACA